AGUGAACGCUGGCGGUAGGCCUAACACAUGCAAGUCGAACGGCAGCACAGUAAGAGCUUGCCCUUACGGGUGGCGAGUGGCGGAUGGGUGAGGAAUACAUCGGAAUCUACUUUUUCGUGGGGGAUAACGUAGGGAAACUUACGCUAAUACCGCAUACGACCUACGGGUGAAAGCAGGGGAUCUUCGGACCUUGCGCGAUUGAAUGAGCCGAUGUCGGAUUAGCUAGUUGGCGGGGUAAAGGCCCACCAAGGCGACGAUCCGUAGCUGGUCUGAGAGGAUGAUCAGCCACACUGGAACUGAGACACGGUCCAGACUCCUACGGGAGGCAGCAGUGGGGAAUAUUGGACAAUGGGCGCAAGCCUGAUCCAGCCAUACCGCGUGGGUGAAGAAGGCCUUCGGGUUGUAAAGCCCUUUUGUUGGGAAAGAAAAGCAGCAGGUUAAUACCCCGCUGUUCUGACGGUACCCAUAGAAUAAGCACCGGCUAACUUCGUG
rnacentral:rRNA from 1 species